CCUACGGGAGGCAGCAGUGGGGAAUUUUGGACAAUGGGCGAAUGCCUGAUCCAGCCAUGCCGCGUGCAGGAUGAAGGCCUUCGGGUUGUAAACUGCUUUUGUACGGAACGAAAAGACUCUGGUUAAUACCUGGGGUCCAUGACGGUACCGUAAGAAUAAGCACCGGCUAACUACGUGCCAGCAGCCGCGGUAAUACGUAGGGUGCAAGCGUUAAUCGGAAUUACUGGGCGUAAAGCGUGCGCAGGCGGUUAUAUAAGACAGAUGUGAAAUCCCCGGGCUCAACCUGGGAACUGCAUUUGUGACUGUAUAGCUAGAGUACGGCAGAGGGGGAUGGAAUUCCGCGUGUAGCAGUGAAAUGCGUAGAUAUGCGGAGGAACACCGAUGGCGAAGGCAAUCCCCUGGGCCUGUACUGACGCUCAUGCACGAAAGCGUGGGGAGCAAACAGGAUUAGAUACCCUGGUAGUCCACGCCCUAAACGAUGUCAACUGGUUGUUGGGUCUUCACUGACUCAGUAACGAAGCUAACGCGUGAAGUUGACCGCCUGGGGAGUACGGCCGCAAGGUUGAAACUCAAAUGAAUUGACGG
rnacentral:rRNA from 1 species